CCAAUAGCGUAUAUUAAAGUUGUUGCAGUUAAAAAGCUCGUAGUUGAAUUUCGGAAUCAAUAUUUCGGUCAUGCCGUUGGUAUGCACUGUUAUCAUUGAUUUCUCACCUUCUAAAGAACCGUAAUGCCAUUAAUUUGGUGUUACGGGGAAUUAGGACUGUUACCUUGAAAAAAUUAGAGUGUUUAAAGCAGGCUCACGCUUGAAUACAUUAGCAUGGAAUAAUGAAAUAGGACAUCCGAUUCUAUUUUGUUGGUUUCUAGGAUCGAUGUAAUGAUUAAUAGGGAUAGUUGGGGGCAUUAGUAUUCAAUUGUCAGAGGUGAAAUUCUUGGAUUUAUUGAAGACUAACUACUGCGAAAGCAUUUGCCAAGGAUGUUUUCAUUAAUCAAGAACGAAAGUUGGGGGCUCGAAGACGAUCAGAUACCGUCCUAGUCUCAACCAUAAACGAUGCCGACCAGGGAUCGGCGGAUGUUGCUUUUAGGACACCGCCGGCACCUUAUG
rnacentral:misc_RNA from 1 species